rnacentral:tRNA from 1 species
GGAGAGGUGCCGGAGUGGUUGAACGGGCUAGUCUCGAAAACUAGUAUGGCCGCAAGGCUAUCGGGGGUUCGAAUCCCCCCUUCUCCGCCA